GCUAAAGGCUAACAGCCGGGCUAAAGGCUGUCAGCCGGGCUAAAGGCUAACAGCCGGGCUAAAGGCUGUCAGCCGGGCUAAAGGCUAACAGCCGGAGUCUCCGCGUCCUGUAUUUAAACGUUCUCUUCUCAGUCCCAUACAGACUUUCUGAAAGCCUGUUUGGUUUCCUGAGACGGGGACGGUGUUGCUCAGAGGCUCAGGAUGAUUUCUGCUGCCAAGGCCUUUAUAUCAUGAUAUUGUGAUUGUGUAACUUAUUAAUUAGGCGUAUUAAAUAACCCAGAAUAUGAUUUAUUCGCUAAAUGUAGGACUUUCAACUGAAACUCAGUUUUCUGAUGUCCUUUAACACCGCAUACAUUUGAUUUAGUUACAUGCAUUUGAUUUAGUUACAUGCAUUUGAUUUAUUAGGUACAUGCAUUUGAUUUAUCUAUAAGUCACAUCAUUGAGCACGUUGCUUUUUUUUAGUGCAGCAGCUUCCUUUCGUACAUUUCAUCAGCUGAUUUUGUUCCCGGAGCCGCUUCCUCAGAUGCAGAUCAGCUUUCUUUGUUUUCGCUCGAGUCUUUGGUUUAGUCGUUUAUGUUUUUUCUCGUCUGUUUGGAUCAAACGCUCAGGAAGUAUCAGCCUCGUGUUUCUGACCGACAGACUCUCAGACUUCAUUAACGGGAGAAGUAACAGAAGGAAAUCUGUUUUAAUAAAUGUAGAAAGUUGUGUUUGGUCCGUUGGUUGUUCAGACCUACAGUGAACAGAUUUUAGAAAACAAAUAUAAAACUUGCCACUGAUUCUCUCGGGACACGUUUCCUUGCAACGUGACGCAACCAAGGGCUUCCAGUGGGUGGGCGUGUCACAGGUGCUGCCCAAUCAGCUGCGACAGGUUUGGUUCAGGGAACCAUCGACUCCGUUGAGAAAACGCUGUUAUCUCUCUUCACUCUGGUGACGAUGUGAUGUAUCCGAUCAGUCCGAUCAGCUGCAGCGUCCAAUCAAUUAGCAGAUGUGCACUGAGGGGGCGUGUCAGCUAAGGGGGCGUGUAUUUGUGCAGCUCCUCGCAGCACAAGUAAGGGUCCAAUCCCGAUGUCCCCCCUGAGCCCUGACAGACUUUACUGACGCCUCUUGGACUGUGACUGAGUGUGAGACGCUGCAGGGGCUCAAAAUGCUGUAAACAGGAAGGAGACAUCGCUUUGCCACAUCAUCACGUUACCUUGACGACGCUGCACACUUUUUAUUUUAUGUUUUUGCCUGAUUUUUAAGUCCUGCAUGCUCUCGCCCUGCAGACUAGAGGAGAGAAAAACUCAGCAUCAGCAGCAGUAGCAUCAGCGUUGGUGUCCAUGCAUGUUCGUUUACCUUCUUCUUCUCCCGGACUUCCUGGGAACGCGCCUCUCGAAGUCUGUGAGUGGACGUUGGGAUUGGGCCGAGAGCUUUGGGGCGGUCUGCAGGAUGGAUCACUGAGAAUCUUCAGACUCAGUUCUGAUGAAUAAAUGACGACCCCGUUA